UACGGAGGGGGCUAGCGUUGUUCGGAAUUACUGGGCGUAAAGCGCACGUAGGCGGCUUUGUAAGUUAGAGGUGAAAGCCCGGGGCUCAACUCCGGAAUUGCCUUUAAGACUGCAUCGCUAGAAUUGUGGAGAGGUAAGUGGAAUUCCGAGUGUAGAGGUGAAAUUCGUAGAUAUUCGGAAGAACACCGGUGGCGAAGGCGACUUACUGGACACAUAUUGACGCUGAGGUGCGAAAGCGUGGGGAACAAACAGG
rnacentral:rRNA from 1 species